rnacentral:rRNA from 1 species
ACCUACGGGAGGCAGCAGUGGGGAAUAUUGCACAAUGGGGGAAACCCUGAUGCAGCGACGCCGCGUGAGUGAGGAAGUAUUUCGGUAUGUAAAGCUCUAUCAGCAGGGAAGAAAAUGACGGUACCUGACUAAGAAGCCCCGGCUAACUACGUGCCAGCAGCAGCGGUAAUACGUAGGGGGCAAGCGUUAUCCGGAUUUACUGGGUGUAAAGGGAGCGUAGACGGAAUUGCAAGUCUGAUGUGAAAAUCCGGGGCCCAACCCCGGAAGUACAUUGGAAACUGUUUUUCUAGAGUGUCGUAGAGGAA